rnacentral:sRNA from 17 species
AUACCCCAUGGUGCUCAGGUCCGCCGCAUCUCCUGGGUCGUGGGGUUGGUCGGCAGGUGUGCGAUUAUCAAGCGGUUCCUCGUGCCGUUAUUGCAUGCCCGCCGACCCCCAU